rnacentral:tRNA from 1 species
CAGAAAAUAGUUUAACAAGAAUUGCAGCUUUGGGAGUUGCGGGCAUAGGUGAGGGUCCUAUUUUUCUGA